rnacentral:rRNA from 1 species
CGCGGCCUAUCAGCUUGUUGGUGAGGUAAUGGCUCACCAAGGCUUCGACGGGUAGCCGGCCUGAGAGAGCGACCGGCCACACUGGGACUGAGAUACGGCCCAGACUCCUACGGGAGGCAGCAGUGGGGAAUAUUGCACAAUGGGCGCAAGCCUGAUGCAGCAACGCCGCGUGCGGGAUGACGGCCUUCGGGUUGUAAACCGCUUUCAGUAGGGACGAAGCCAACGUGACGGUACCUACAGAAGAAGGACCGGCUAACUACGUGCCAGCAGCCGCGGUGAUACGUAGGGUCCGAGCGUUGUCCGGAAUUAUUGGGCGUAAAGGGCUUGUGGGCGGUCCGUCGCGUCAGGAGUGAAAACUCGGGGCUUAACCCCGAGCCUGCUUUUGAUACGGGCGGACUAGAGGGAUGCAGGGGAGAACGGAAUUCCUGGUGGAGCGGUGGAAUGCGCGGAUAUCAGGAGGAAUCUCU